rnacentral:rRNA from 1 species
GACUUGUGUGCGUUGCCGGACAGCGGUCUGCGUUCAAAAGAGCGUUACGACAUGCGACGGCGGCGCCGUAAAAUCUGCAACUGGAUCGCGUCUGGUCUUGAUUGCCUGGGCGCGACAAUUCGGUUGCUCGUUUACUGUGAGAAAAUUAGAGUGUUCAAGGCAGGCAUGAUUGCAAUUGAAUAUGUUAGCAUGGAAUAAUAAGAUAAGGCUUUCGUCCUAUUUUGUUGGUUUCUAGAGCGGAAGUAAUGAUUGAUAGGGAUAGUUGGGGGUGCUAGUAUUCAGCGGCCAGAGGUGAAAUUCAUGGAUUCGCUGAAGACUAACUUAUGCGAAAGCAUU